UGCGUAGGCGGGCUAAUAAGUCAGUGGUGAAAUCUCUCGGCUCAACCAGGAAACUGCCAUUGAUACUGUUAGUCUUGAGUUCGGUUGAGGUAGGCGGAAUGUGUAAUGUAGCGGUGAAAUGCUUAGAUAUUACACAGAACACCAAUUGCGUAGGCAGCUUACUAGACCGACACUGACGCUGAGGCACGAAAGCGUGGGGAGCGAACAGGAUUAGAUACCCUGGUAGUCC
rnacentral:rRNA from 1 species